GACGAACGCUGGCGGCGUGCUUAACACAUGCAAGUCGAACGGAAAGGCCCUGCUUUUGUGGGGUGCUCGAGUGGCGAACGGGUGAGUAACACGUGAGUAACCUGCCCUUGACUUUGGGAUAACUUCAGGAAACUGGGGCUAAUACCGGAUAGGAGCUCCUGCUGCAUGGUGGGGGUUGGAAAGUUUCGGCGGUUGGGGAUGGACUCGCGGCUUAUCAGCUUGUUGGUGGGGUAGUGGCUUACCAAGGCUUUGACCGGUAGCCGGCCUGAGAGGGUGACCGGCCACAAUGAGACUGAGAUACGGCCCAGACUCCUACGGGGGGCAGCGGUGGAGAGUAUUGCAGAAUGGGCGGAAGCCUGGUGCAGCGACGCCGCGUGGGGGAUGACGGCCUUCGGGUUGUAAACCGCUUUCGCCUGUGACGAAGCGUGAGUGACGGUAAUGGAUAAAGAAGCACCGGCUAACUACGUG
rnacentral:rRNA from 1 species